rnacentral:rRNA from 1 species
AUGAACGCUGGCGGCGUGCCUAAUACAUGCAAGUAGAACGCUGAAGGCAGGAGCUUGCUCUUUCCGGAUGAGUUGCGAACGGGUGAGUAACGCGUAGGUAACCUGCCUGGUAGCGGGGGAUAACUAUUGGAAACGAUAGCUAAUACCGCAUAACAGUAGAUGUUGCAUGAUAUCUACUUAAAAGGUGCAAUUGCACCACUACCAGAUGGACCUGCGUUGUAUUAGCUAGUUGGUGAGGUAACGGCUCACCAAGGCGACGAUACAUAGCCGACCUGAGAGGGUGAUCGGCCACACUGGGACUGAGACACGGCCCAGACUCCUACGGGAGGCAGCAGGAGGGAAUCUUCGGCAAUGGACGGAAGUCUGACCGAGCAACGCCGCGUGAGUGAAGAAGGGUUUCGGAUCGUAAAGCUCUGUUGUAAGAGAAGAACGAGUGUGAGAGUGGAAAGUUCACACUGUGACGGUAUCUUACCAGAAAGGGACGGCUAACUACGUG